rnacentral:rRNA from 1 species
GGACUAACGCCGAUAUGCUUCGGGGAGCUGUAAGUAAGCUUUGAUCCGAAGAUUUCCGAAUGGGGAAACCCACCAUACGUAAUGGUAUGGUAUCCUUAUCUGAAUACAUAGGGUAAGGAAGACAGACCCAGGGAACUGAAACAUCUAAGUACCUGGAGGAAGAGAAAGCAAAUGCGAUUUCCUGAGUAGCGGCGAGCGAAACGGAACAUAGCCCAAACCAAGAGGCUUGCCUCUUGGGGUUGUAGGACAUUCUAUACGGAGUUACAAAGGAACGAGGUAGACGAAGCGACCUGGAAAGGUCCGUCGUAGAGGGUAACAACCCCGUAGUCGAAACUUCGUUCUCUCUUGAAUGUAUCCUGAGUACGGCGGAACACGUGAAAUUCCGUCGGAAUCUGGGAGGACCAUCUCCCAAGGCUAAAUACUCCCAAGUGAUCGAUAGGGAACCAGUACCGUGAGGGAAAGGUGAAAAGCACCCCGGAAGGGGAGUGAAAGAGAUCCUGAAACCGUGUGCCUACAAAUAGUCAGAGCCCGUUAAUGGGUGAUGGCGUGCCUGUUGUAGAAUGAACCGGCGAGUUACGAUCCCGUGCGAGGUUAAGCUGAAGAGGCGGAGCCGCAGCGAAAGCGAGUCUGAAUAGGGCGUUUAGUACGUGGUCGGAGACCCGAAACCAGGUGAUCUACCCAUG